UUUGUAUUAAAUUCUUUUAUUGGUACAUUGUAGGUAUACAACACAAUUACAUUUCUCAUUGGGAACUCAUAUCUUUACAUGAUGCAUCUUGGUUCUUAUUUGUUCCCCAUUCCUAGCCCUCCCUUCACCCCCUCCACCCUUCCCUAUUUACAAAGACUUUAUUUCCAUUUUUUCCAUUUCUCAUCAUUUUUCCUUUCCCUUCUUUCCUUUCCCCUGCCCCUCCCACUACCCCUACCCCUUUGGACCUUUUCUUCCUAUUUUACAUUAUUGAUUAUUCAUUCUAAUCAUUGGUACAUUUUAGGUAUACAAUAUAAUGACAUUCGUCAUUGGAAAUUUGCACCUUUACAUAGUCUUAGUUCUUAUUUUUCACCCUUGCCCAGCCCUCCCCUUCAACCCCUCCAGUCCUCCCUAUUUACAAAGAUUUUGUUCCUAUUUUUCCAUUUUCUCAUAUUAAUCCCAUUCCCUUCUAUCCUUUCCUCUAGCCCUCCCACUUCCUUCCCCUUUGCCCCUUUUCUUCUCACAGUCUUACUUUCCUGCUAGUUCUUUCCAUUUCAUGUUAUAUCCUAAUCAACUCCCCAUCACACUAAUCAUUUUUAAAGGCCACACGGAAAACAAAUUAUACUUCACUCAUUUCCCUGUUUUAACACUGUGAAUUCCAAAUUUCUGCUAUUUAAUUGAUAAACAUCACAGUUCUACAUGUUCUGUAAUAUACUCAUACAUUUGUGCACCAUAUGCGUGUGUGUCCUAAGAAAGAAGCACACUGUAAGAGUGGCUGAACACAGAUUUGAAGCAAAUUGCCUGGAGUUUACGUUCCUUCUUGCCAGUUUACCAGGGCAGCAGGCUUAUGCUUCCUGUGGCAGGUUCCUCAUAUGCAUAAGGUUAGGUAAGUAAUGCCACUUACCUCAAAGGCCAUAAGGACUGAGUUAAUAGAUUGCCAGUGCUGAGAGCAAUGCUUGUCAAGAAGUAUUUAAUAAAUGUCAACCAUUCGUUUAUUUUGAAAUAUCUCUCAAGUAUAAUUAUUAGCUCAAAAGUUAUACUCAUUAGGAUGACCACUACCAGAAAAGCCCAGAAAAUAACAAGUGUUGGGAAGGAUGGCGCAAACCCUUGUGCACUGCUGGUGAGAUUGUAAAAUGGUGCAGCUGCUGUGCAGAAGAGUAUGGAGUUUCAUCAAACACUUAAAAUAGAAUCACCAUAUGACCCAGCAAUCCCACUUCUGGGUAUAUAUCCUAAAGAACUGAAAGCAGGAUCUCAAGGACAUAUUUGCACAUACGUAUCUACUGAAGCACUAGUUACAGCAGCCAAGAGGAAGCAGACCAAAUGUUUCCAACGACAGAUGAAUGGAUUAAAAAGAUGGUGUUGACACAUAAUGAAAUAUUAUUCAGCCCUUAAACAUAAGGAAAUCCUGCCACAUGUUACCACAUGAAGCUUGAGGGACUUACACUGAGUGAAAUAAGCCAGUCAAAACAAGGACAAGUACUAAAUGAUUCCAAUUAUAUGAACUUUCUAGGGUGGUCACAAUCAUGGAAACAAAAAGUAGAAUGCUGGUGGCUGGGAACUAGAGGGAAGGACAUGGGAAGCUGAUGAGCAGAGAGUCUUCACUUCUAUUAGACUAUGCAUGCAAUUACUGGUGAGUAUACCAAAUAUGAAUACUUACUUAUUUCUGGUUUAAAGACUUUAUAGGGUUUUUUUGGCAUCAUCCUUGAUUCUGCAUCACAUAAAGAUUCAUGUGCUAUUUUGUUUCACCAUAAAAAUACAUGCAAUAUAAAUAGGAAAAACAAUGUUCUCUAAAGAAUAAGUCUAUUUGCUUUUAUCAGGUAAGAAUCAUACAUCUACAUUUCCCUUUUCUUUCACAGCUACUCAGAAGUAACUUAAUGGUUAAUUACUGUAACUAUUAUUAGUCCAGGUUUGGAAUAAAUAUACUUUUAUUCCUCCCUCCAUAAAACUUCUGCCAUUAUUCUAUCUUAAUGUGUUCUAAAUGUUUUAUUAUAAGGAAAUUCAGCUGGAAAUCCGUAGAACAUAAG
ensembl:lncRNA